CGCGCCCCGACCCGCGGGCGCCCGGCCUCUCCCGCCCGCCCCGGGGCUCCGCGCUCCCCCGGCUCCGCCUCGCGCACUUCCCGGGAGCGGCUUCCCGGGGCCCACUGGGCUCAGCGGGUUGUUUUGUUUUUUUUUUUUUUUUUCCUCUCGGUGUUUGGCGCUUUUCCCCGCCUUCCUCACCCGGAUUCAACCCUCGAGGCUGGAUCCCGGGGGGCGUCGGGAGGGCCGGCGGCGGGUGGGCGCGGAGUGCCGGGUCGCCGCCACUGCGCGCGCCGCGCCUCGGGGGGAACUAGAAUGCGUUCGGGAGCUGCCUGCCGGGCCCCGGGCACCCCCAGUGCCUGGCACUGCGCGGGCGCUCAAUAAAUAUUUGUUGAAUGAAUGAGCAGUUGACUACCGCGUUUACCCCCUGGAGCUUUAACUGACACCGAGAGGACCGGAAGCCGGGCUCCAGGGCGGACGCGACCUCCCGGGGCCACCGUUGAUAGCUUUCAAAGCGGGCGUGUUUGUCUCCGGGACUUAAUCACCUUUAGGACUUCCUCAGUGAUUCCUCCACGUGGACCCCUAGGAGCUGAAGCAUUUGCAUUAUAGAAUGGGGACUUCACAAAGCCCUGGCAGAUUUGGUGUCUGGAGAGGACUCACUUCCUGGUUUAUAGACUCUUUGUCUUGCCGAAUCCUCGUGUGGUGGAAGGGCUGGGACACUGCAGCACGAAGGUCCAGAAAGGCAAGUGACCUAACCUGGUGGUGGAGUUGGAAGAUGAGCUCACUCUUCUCAACCUCCGCACAAGUGGUUCCCACUGCACUCGCCCCCACCCUAUUAUCACGUCCCACUGUGCGGCCAAUAGGACAAUGUGAUGUCAGGGGUCUUAGAACUGUUGCAGGGGAACCAAAGUUGAAAUGUUUGCCGCGAACACUCCGCCUCGGGAGUGCUUUUGAUGACUCAGUCCCUGUGAUAUUGUGAUUUACAGUAAGAAAGACAUACGUGGUCUCUGUCCCCUUUUCUGGCACAGAGCUUCUAAAACCCUUGAGAUUUCCUAAGUGAUGAGGGCAGUCAGGGUGUCUUUGGUUAAGUUAAUGAGGCGCCUUUUGGAAAGCACCUGAAGAUGGGGGCUGGUUGCCAAGAGAACCAACAGUGUGGUGCCAGUGUUGCAACUUUCAGUCUGUCUACUCCCCCCGCCCCCAUCUCCGGAGGAGGGGCUGGAGACCCAGUUCAGUUGCCAAUGGGCAGUCAUUUGAUCAACCACGGCUACGUAAUAAAGCCUCAGUAAAAAUACAAAGGAUGGGGUUCAGAGAACUUCCUCAUUAGCAAAACGAAGGAGACUGGCAAGAGUGUUACACUUGGAGAGGGCACGAAGCUCUGUGCCCCUUCCCCUUCCCUUGCCCUAUGCAUCUUUUCCAUGGGCUAUUCCUGAGUUACCUCCUCUGAAAGAAACUGGUAACAAUACCUGUUUAUUCUUAUUACCAGUAAGUAAAAUGUUCCCCGGAGUCUUGCGAGCUGCUCUAGCAAACUAAUUGAACCCAAAAUGGGGUUUGUGGGGGUCUCCGAUUUGUGACCAGUCAGAAGCACAGGAAAUAACCUGGACUUGUGAUUGGCUCAGAAAUGGGGGGGGGGCACUCUUGUAGAACUGGACCCUUCAAAUGCAGAGUCUGAUGCUCUCUCUGAGUAGAUAGUGUCAGAAUUGAGUUGAAUGGUAGGCCACCCCACUGGUGUCUGAGAAUUGCUUGGUACGGAGGGAAAAAAAAAAGCCUCAUACCUUGGAAUAAGUGACAUCGGGGUUCAGAAUGGCUUAUGCCAAAAGAUGCCACUUUGGUAUAUUGACUAUUUUAAAUUAAAGGUACUUGAGAAACAGCUGGUCCAAUAAACACCGUCUGAAAAUAGGAAAUGCAUUUGCCAUGUGAAAGGUACCCUCCCUGUGGCAGAAGCGUGGAAGGCAUCCUUAUCACUAGACACAGGGAAUUUAGGGCUGAGGAAGGCUGUAUAAACAAAUCUCAUUACUUCUUCACCAUUUUACUACCCUUAGCUCAAACCCCUUUGUCUUGUCAAUUCUUUAUGGACUCACUGGUUCUUUGUCUAAAAGGCAUAAAAGCUUCUUGUUCUGGUCACGUCUUUGAGUCUCAUAUCUUUGUGGGGCUCCUGAAGGUGCAUGUGCAAUUAAACUCGUUUUGCUCCUGUUGGUCUAUCUUUCUAUGACAGGGGCAGUCUCAACCAAGAACCUAGAAGGGUAGAGGGAAAAUUAUUUUUCCCUCCCUGCAGUGAUCAGAACCUGUAGUCCCCAAAUGGAAAAUGCUCGUGGAAUCAUCUGGUGGUUACUUUACUUCUUUAGACUGGUAAUGACGUGUGGAUAUGCCUUUGAAUGAUAAGGAGCAUGAGGCUCACAGGACUAUGUGGUUGGAGGGAAAGAAAUACCAGAACCCAAGUCUGCUGACAUUUGCUCCUCUCACCUGUGAUUGGAGCCCGUCUGCUCUUGCCACGAAAGCAACUGGGCCCUUUUGCAAAAACAAGAAAUUAGCAUAGGCCUGGAAAAAACCUGGAGAUAAAAGCAAAUUGUUACGCUUCUGGCUUUUUCUCUUUUUGGGGGUGGGGAGUAGGGAUAAGGAUCUUUGCAGGUGGAAAGAUUGUGAUGGCUUCAUUUAGAUGUCAUGUUCUCAGAGUUCUGAAGGUGACAUCAGCCUGGGCCAAAAGUAAGGAGCACGACCUCCUUCGUGCCAACACUGUCCUUCGUAAUGCUUCCUUCGUCUGCUGGCUGAUGGCUGAAAGGGAGCCUGUAAAUACCCUGGGAUAGGUACCUCUAAUAUAAAUGUGUGCUGUAGGAUAAGUAAUAGAUAUCGUCUCCUUUGCUUGGAACAGGCUGUCACGUAAAAGAGGCCAGAAAGAGGCGACGGUCCCAGUGAGGGGCUAAGUUUAGAAGAAAUAAGCAUACAUUUUCUUGGGUUCUCAUUUUGCUUAACACUAGCAUUGGGAGGAAGGGAAGCUUUCCAAGAGCACAGGAAGAGAAACUGGGCCUCGGCCAAUCUUUUGGGCCAAACAGAAUUCAGAGAGCGUGAUGUGUUUUCGAAAAUGCUUGGCAAGCUAGUUAUUUCAGAUCCCUUGGGCCUUCGUGGCUCGGAAGCCUGCUUAGAUCUGACUAGUCAAGCCCACGAAGAUGUCUAAUGACGACUCACACUUCCACAAGCGACUGUCUGAACAGUGUUACUAUUCCCCGAAAGAUUUGUGAGGCUCUUUCUGCUGAUGCCAUAGGACCUGCAUCAACUUAGAUUGUCGAUGCCAGGCCAAGUUUGCACAUACAUAGACAAAACCUUAAAAAGUAUCUUCCUGCCCGUGAGAAAAAUGACUUCCGACACGUUUCCCAGAAAACUGAAGUGUGUUUGUUUGCUUUCCUAGGACUUAAAAUUCAAGGUUUUUUCCUCCCCCGGUGCAGCUGAUUGAUGGCACUUAUGGAGUUUGAAUCAGUCAGUCGGCAUGGUUCGGCUAAGUUAAGCAAAAUCUGACUUCCCUGUCCUCGGGAAGGACAGCAUUGAGGACAUCUGGGGAUCUCCAUAGCAGAAACGAUCCAACGCUCCCUUUUGGGUGAAUAGUGGAAGAGCCUAUAACCUCAGUUUCCCUACGUAUGUCAUCCAUUCAGGACCCGUUGUGCGGGAAGAGAGGUUCUGCAGCUGUGGAGACCCCGAGCCCACCUCUUGAUGACAGGGAUAGCAGGACCGUUAGAAAUAGGGAAGCGGUAGUUCCCUAAAGAAAAGAA